AAAUUCACGCAACAGCACUGCAGCUCCGUAAUACAUAUCACGUGGCUUGUACAAAUAGAAGUAAAGGUGAACAUGUGUCAGAGACGCAUCAGCAAGUUUGUUCUGAACCAAGUCAAGAUCAACAUGAUUGGAACUCUCUUAUACAUAAUCUCGUUCAUUUUACUCAAAGGUUCCUGUAAGGGUGUGUUGAUCACUCAGUGGCCUAAAUAUAUCUCCAGUUUUAAAGGCACUUCAGUGGACAUGCACUGUUACCAAAAUGACACAGACUAUGACUACACUUACUGGUACAGACAAAUCAAAGACAAAGAGCCAGUACUUAUAGCCAGAUCUGUAGCUGGCAGGCCCAGUCAGGAGAAGGGUUUUGAAAAUGGCUUCAAAGCCUGGGGACAAAAGAAGAAGUGGUCCCUGACAGUGGAUGUUAAAGAGGACAGUGAUGCAGUUUACCUGUGUGCUGCUAGUUUCCACAGUGCAUAAAUGCUGUUAAUCUGUGGGACAAAAACAUACUGGAAGGCAGCCAGUUCUCACAGCUGACUCAACCACAUGAAUCUUCAUUUUGGUGCAGUAUUACUGAAUUCUCGACAGGAAAUCAAAAUCUGUAAGAAUCUGUGCAAGUUAACUUUUCUUAUUUCUGAUAUAAAACCAAUAAUUAAAUGAAAUUCUGCUUCAGUUUAGAUUGAAAUGCUGAGAAAUAUGCACCGACCAUUUUAUUAGGAAAACCUGUACACCUGCACAUUCACGCAAUUAUCAAAUCAAUUAUGGUCAAUUAUGCAGCAGCAACACAAUUCAUAAAUUCAUGCAGAUACAGGUCGUGAGCUUCAGUUAAUCUUCACAUUAAUUGUCAGACUGGGGAAAAUGGUGAUUUCUUUGACCUUGGCAUGGUGCUGGUGCCAGACAGGCUAGUUUGAA